CACCGGCGCCACAAGUGGAGUUCACUAUUAUUGGGUCUAAAGCGUCCGUAGCAGGUUUCUUAAGUUUCUUGUUAAAUCCACAGGCUUAACCUGUGGGCUGCAAGAGAUACUGGGAGGCUUGGGACCGGGGGAGGUCGAGGGUAUUCCUAGGGUAGCGGUUAAAUGUUAUAAUCCUAGGAGGACCAACUAAGGCGAAGGCACUCGACUAAAACGGAUCCGACUGUGAGGGACGAAAGCUGGGGGAGCGAACCGG
rnacentral:rRNA from 1 species